rnacentral:rRNA from 1 species
GACGAACGCUGGCGGCGUGCUUAACACAUGCAAGUCGAACGGAAAGGCCCUGCUUUUGUGGGGUGCUCGAGUGGCGAACGGGUGAGUAACACGUGAGUAACCUGCCCUUGACUUUGGGAUAACUUCAGGAAACUGGGGCUAAUACCGGAUAGGAGCUCCUGCUGCACGGUGGGGGUUGGAAAUUUUCGGCGGCUGGGGAUGGAAUCGCGGUUUAUCAGCUUGUUGGUGGGGUAGUGGCUUACCAAGGCUUUGACGGGUAGCCGGCCUGAGAGGGUGACCGGCCACAUUGGGACUGAGAUACGGCCGAGACUCAUACGGGAGGCAGCAGUGGAGAAUAUAGCACAAUGGGCGGAAGCCGGAUGAAGCAUCGCCGCGUGCGGGAUGACGGCCUUCGGGUAGUAAACCGAUUUCGCCUGUAACGAAGCGUGAGUGACUGGAAUGAGUAAAGAAGCACCGGCUAACUACGU